GAGAGGCGCAGAACGUGUUCGAUCGACCCGCGAACGCAGCCCGUGCUCACACUGCGACAGAGUUCACUUCAGUCAGUCGCUAUUUGCUUGUCGACCGCGUACAGUCGCGUCGGUUCACGAUCUUUUCCCUCUCUUUCUUCGUGAAAGCCUUUUCGCGGUAGCCGGCCUAUAAUAUUGCCAACUUGUCGCGCGAUUAUCGCUACCGUUCCCCUUUUUACCCUGUGUUCUCCGCAAAAAGAAAAAAGGCAUUUGCACGGACCUCCGUCGUCUGCUAGGAGUACUUUGCUCGGACACAUGGGCUGCUAGGCACGAGGGAUGAUUCAGGCAUAAACGUGAUGCACUUUGGAGAUAACGUGUGUCUGGCUGCUGCAGUACGCGCCCAGUGGUUGCUUCAAUAGCUGGUUUCCAUAUAUUCUUCGUGGGGGAUAUCAUCCUUCGAUUUUCUGCGUCCAACAAUCAAGGACCAUGAACAGAAAUUCAAGCCUUUACUCGAGGAUACUAGCGUGGACAUCCUGUUUACUCGCUGUUCUUCUCAUUCUGCUUCCCUCGAGGACUGCCGCCUUGGAGGAGAACUGCACGGACUUCCAGGGGACGAUCGUUCGGCAUGGUCUCCUCUAUGUACCGGGUCCUGCGGUUUGCAGUCUCUGCGUCUGCUAUCAUUCGGAGCCAAUGUGGUGUCGAUCGAUCUUCUGCACGCCACCCUACAAAUGCAAGAAGUUUCGCGUCGGCGAGCGAUGCUGCGAAUUCGAGUGCCUGGAUGACACGGAUUGGACUGGACCUGAUCUGAUCAUUGCCUCUGGUUCCUCCAGGGUUCAAGAACAAGGGAUAUUCUGGCUGAUAGGUCUGACGGCGCUGCUGAGAGCGCUCUAGUUCUAUAACGAGGCUCCAGAGGGCGUCGUUGAGAUUCAGCCAUUCAGAACAUCGACGACGAAGACGGUGUCAUAUAAAUCGGUGCGCCUCUGGGAAAAUGUGGGUAUCUGA
rnacentral:misc_RNA from 1 species